UUUUCUUGUCUCUGUUUCCAGGAAAUCAUUCAACUAUCCUUUUUCUCUCAACCUGAUGGCCCAGUGAUUAGAAAUGGCUCCUUUAAAUCGUCAUUCUUAUUUCCAGGUAUAAAAGAAGGAUUUUAUCUGGGUCCACCACCGAAAGAUAAGCUUCCCAAGAAUUCUACACAAGAUUUUGUAUUGUUAG